rnacentral:rRNA from 1 species
GAUUGAACGCUGGCGGCGUGCUUAACACAUGCAAGUCGAGCGGUAGCAGGCGUAGCAAUACGUGCUGACGAGCGGCGAACGGGUGAGUAAUGCUUCGGAAUCUUCCUCGUAGUGGGGAACAACCUGGGGAAACUCAGGCUAAUACCGCAUACGAACUACGGUUGAAAGCAGGGGAUCGCAAGACCUUGCGCUGUGAGAUGAGCCGAAGUCGGAUUAGCUAGUUGGUGGGGUAAAGGCCUACCAAGGCGACGAUCCGUAGCUGGUCUGAGAGGACGACCAGCCACACUGGGACUGAGACACGGCCCAGACUCCUACGGGAGGCAGCAGUGGGGAAUAUUGGACAAUGGGGGCAACCCUGAUCCAGCGACGCCGCGUGUGUGAAGAAGGCCUGCGGGUUGUAAAGCACUUUUAGUGGGGAUGAAAAGCCAAGGGCUAAUACCCUUUGGUCUUGACCUAACCCAAAGAAAAAGCACCGGCUAACUCUGUGCCAGCAGCCGCGGUAAUACAGAGGGUGCAAGCGUUAAUCGGAAUUACUGGGCGUAAAGCGUGCGUAGUCGGUUAUCUAAGUCGGAUGUGAAAUCCCCGGGCUCAACCUGGGAAUUGCAUUCGAUACUGGAUAGCUAGAGUUCGGCAGAGGGAAGUGGAAUUUCAGGUGUAGCGGUGAAAUGCGUAGAUAUCUGAAGGAACAUCAGUGGCGAAAGCGACUUCCUGGACCAGAACUGACGAUCAGGCACGAAAGCGUGGGGAGCAAACAGGAUUAGAUACCCUGGUAGUCCACGCCAUAAACGAUGACAACUAGACGUUGGGAACAUUUGGUUCACAGUGUCGCAGCUAACG